rnacentral:rRNA from 1 species
CCAAAAAUGCAAGUCGAGCGAACAGAGAAGGAGCUUGCUCCUUUGACGUUAGCGGCGGACGGGUGAGUAACACGUGGGCAACCUACCUUAUAGUUUGGGAUAACUCCGGGAAACCGGGGCUAAUACCGAAUAAUCUGUUCCACCUCAUGGUGGAACACUGAAAGACGGUUUCCGCUGUCCCUAUAGGAUGGGCCCGCGGCGCAUUAGCUAGUUGGUGAGGUAACGGCUCACCAAGGCGACGAUGCGUAGCCGACCUGAGAGGGUGAUCGGCCACACUGGGACUGAAACACGGCCCAGACUCCUACGGGAGGCAGCAGUAGGGAAUCUUCCACAAUGGGCGAAAGCCUGAUGGAGCAACGCCGCGUGAGUGAAAAAGGUUUUCGGAUCGUAAAACUCUGUUGUAAGGGAAGAACAAGUACAGUAGUAACUGGCUGUACCUUGACGGUACCUUAUUAAAAAGCCACGGCUAACUACGUGCCAGCAGCCGCGGUAAUACGUAGGUGGCAAGCGUUGUCCGGAAUUAUUGGGCGUAAAGCGCGCGCAGGCGGUCCUUUAAGUCUGAUGUGAAAGCCCACGGCUCAACCGUGGAGGGUCAUUGGAAACUGGGGGACUUGAGUGCAGAAGAGGAAAGUGGAAUUCCAAGUGUAGCGGUGAAAUGCGUAGAGAUUUGGAGGAACACCAGUGGCGAAGGCGACUUUCUGGUCUGUAACUGACGCUGAGGCGCGAAAGCGUGGGGGAGCAAACAGGAUUAGAUACCCUGGUAGUCCACGCCCUAAACAAUGAGUGCUAAGUGUUAGGGGGUUUCCGCCCCUUAGUGCUGCAGCUAACCCAUUAACCACUCCGCCCGGGGAGUACGGUCGCAAG